GAGUUGGUCUAGGGGACUGAUUCUCGCUUUGGUGCGAGAGGUCCCGGGUUCAAAUCCCGGGUUCA